rnacentral:lncRNA from 1 species
AAUUAAUCAUCAACAUCAUCAUCUUUAUUUGUACAAUGUGGGAUGAUUUCAAUGAUUCGCUACAUCAUAAAAAACACAGGAACACAAAACAAAAUCAACAAAAUACAUAUCAUACAUUUCAGAUAUCAUAAUAUUCUCACAUACCGCAUAUAACUCUUUUAUUUCUUCUAAUUAUUUCCUGUGAGUUUUCCUCUCUGCUUCUAACUUCUAUUCAAAUUAUUUCUUUUGACUAUCUAGCUUCCUCUGACACUCUUCCAACGUUUCUUUUUGCACUUGUCUGGUGCUUUUUCUAGACGUACCAAAAACCACUCUCAGGAUGAUGCCAUCUCCAACCCCACGGACACUCCCACCAUGCUCCUUUAUUCUGAUUGCUUCUACUAAUAUAUCAUAUUAUGGUUUUGGAACAGAGGAACCUUCACGGGCUAAGUUAACCAACGAAUCUUACACAACAUGAUAAAACAUACAUUGUUGAUUAUCAAAGCGAUUUAAAUAACACUUAACAUAUGUACAACAAGUCCUACUUACAAUUUUCUCAACUACUAAUCUUUAGGCAUCUGAAGUGUAGUCUCCAUUUUAUCUUUGUCGAGCCCUCUUCCACUUCUCAUGUCGUGAUGGUGGAGAUAGUUUCUAAUCACGAGUCUUGGAGUCCCCAUCUCCUAGUUAUUGUCUUUUUUCAGCAAUUAUUGUUUUCUCAAGUUUCCUGUAUCUCCCACAAGAUAAUCUAUGGGGGUAUUUAUUUUUAGACUUGACAACUUUC